rnacentral:rRNA from 1 species
AGCUAAUACAUGCUAAAAUCCCGACUUCGGAAGGGAUGUAUUUAUUAGAUAAAAAACCAAUGCCCUUCGGGGCUCCUUGGUGAUUCAUAAUAACUCAACGAAUCGCAUGGCCUUGCGCUGGCGAUGGUUCAUUCAAAUUUCUGCCCUAUCAACUUUCGAUGGUAGGAUAGUGGCCUACCAUGGUCUCAACGGGUAACGGGGAAUUAGGGUUCUAUUCCGGAGAGGGAGCCUGAGAAACGGCUACCACAUCCAAGGAAGGCAGCAGGCGCGCAAAUUACCCAAUCCCAAUUCGGGGAGGUAGUGACAAUAAAUACUGAUACAGGGCUCUUUUGGGUCUUGUAAUUGGAAUGAGUACAAUCUAAAUCCCUUAACGAGGAACAAUUGGAGGGCAAGUCUGGUGCCAGCAGCCGCGGUAAUUCCAGCUCCAAUAGCGUAUAUUAAAGUUGUUGCCGUUAAAAAGCUCGUAGUUGAACCUUGGGUUUGGCUGAUCUGUCCUCCUAAUCGAGCGCACGGAUUCGGUCGGACCUUUCCUUCUGGGGAGCUGCAUGCCCUUCGCUGGGCGUGUCGGGGAACCAGGACUUUUACCUUGAAAAAAUUAGAGUGUUCAAAGCAGGCCUUUGCUCGAAUACAUUAGCAUGGAAUAAUAGAAUAGGACAGAGGUUCUAUUUUGUUGGUUUCUAGGACCGCUGUAAUGAUUAAUAGGGAUAGUCGGGGGCGUCCGUAUUCAAUUGUCAGAGGUGAAAUUCUUGGAUUUAUUGAAGACGAACUACUGCGAAAGCAUUCGCCAAGGAUGUUUUCAUUAAUCAGUGAACGAAAGUUAGGGGAUCGAAGACGAUCAGAUACCGUCGUAGUCUUAACCAUAAACUAUGCNNNNNNNNNNNNNNNNNNNNNNNNNNNNNNNNNNNNNNNNNNNNNNNNNNCAGGCUGAACUUAAGAAUUGACGGAAGGGCACCACAAGGCGUUAACGAUCUACCAAGCCGUAGAUGCUCUGCGCCGAACAGGAGCCAGAAAUGGUCGGUGGUGUGCCCGGGAACAUGUUAAAUCCUAGUGCGUCCUCCCCCGGGAGGUCGUGCGACACCCUUGAAUUGCGGGAAACCUCCUUAGAGUCUCUCUCUACUAAGCGGCCGGGGAAACCCGACCGUGGCCACGCCAAUUGCGUCGGGUACAGUCAUAACGAGAGAGAAUUGGGCAAUCCGCAGCCAAGCCCCUACCACGCCUCCCCCCGGGGGGGCGUCACGGGGAAGGUUCAGAGACUAAGUAGGGGUGGGUUCGGCCGGACGGCCAGGGCCUAAGAUAUAGUCCAAUCCUCCCGGGAAACCUCGAGGUACCUAUCACAAACCAGGUCGACCCCAACAACAUGGGAGCCUGCGGCUUAAUUUGACUCAACACGGGGAAACUCACCAGGUCCAGACAUGCUUAGGAUUGACAGAUUGAUAGCUCUUUCUUGAUUGUAUGGGUGGUGGUGCAUGGCCGUUUUUAGUUGGUGGAGUGAUUUGUCUGCUUAAUUGCGAUAACGAACGAGACCUUGACCUGCUAAAUAGCCCAACCCACUUUGGUGGAUUGCUGGCUUCUUAGAGGGACUUUUGGCUCAAGCCAAUGGAAGUACGAGGCAAAAACAGGUCUGUGAUGCCCUUAGAUGUUCUGGGCCGCACGCGCGCUACACUGACAGAGCCAGCGAGUACAUCACCUUGGCCGAAAGGUCUGGGUAAUCUUGUUAAACUCUGUCGUGCUGGGGAUAGAGCAUUGCAAUUAUUGCUCUUCAACGAGGAAUGCCUAGUAAGCGCAAGUCAUCAGCUUGCGUUGAUUACGUCCCUGCCCUUUGUACACACCGCCCGUCGCUACUACCGAUUGAAUGGCUCAGUGAGGCCUUGGGAUUGGCCAGGGGAGAUGGGCGACCAUCACCCCAGGCCGAAAACUUGGUCAAACUUGGUCAUUUAGAGGAAGUAAAAGUCGUAACAAGGUUUUCGUAGGCGCUUGCGUCUCGGAAUAAGUUAAUGCAUCCUUCUGCAGUGACACUUAUUUGGAAGCCUUAGAUAACCGCCAGAAAUGGUACGGUUCCCGCGACUUUAAACAAGCAGGAUCCUAAGGGUUAGUGGUGCCGCCUUUGCUUAAUUUAUUUAAGCACGCGGUGCUGCGACACUAUCAAAUUGCGGGAAGUCCCUUAGAGCCGGCAGUACCGCUCCCUCGUCGAAAUGAUCGGGGCAGCACCAGGUUAAUGACCUCGGGUAUGGUAACAAUCUCGCCGGAUUGGGUUACCUGCAGCCAAGUCCUCCGCGGAGGGGUGGUCGUCCACGGGCGGCCGUCUUUCGCGGUCGGAUGCAGUUCACAGGCCAAAUGGUAGUGGGUGGUCCCCUUUUGUAAGGGCGAUUGCUUAAGAUAUGGUCGGGCCCCCAGGGAAAUCCUGGGGGGUGAGUUCACAAAAGAAUAAGUAACAAGAACAAACAAAAACGUUCCGUAGGUGAACCUGCGGAAGGAUCAUUA